UCGGGAGUAACAACCUGGAAACAAGAAUGCUAAUACCGGAUAACAAACAGAUGAUGCCUAUCAACUGUUUAAAAGUAAUGGUUCUGCUAUCACUCUUGGAUGGACCUGCGGUGCAUUAGCUAGUUGGUAGGGUAACGGCCUACCAAGGCGAUGAUGCAUAGCCGAGUUGAGAGACUGAUCGGCCACAUUGGGACUGAGACACGGCCCAAAACUCCUACGGGAGGCAGCAGUG
rnacentral:rRNA from 1 species